rnacentral:snRNA from 1 species
GAGGUCACUUCAGCAGCACAUAUACUAAAAUUGUGAUGAUGCAAAGAUUAGCAUAGCCCCUGUGCAAAGAUGACAUGUAAAUUCAUGAAGUGCUCCAUAAAAAA